CCUACGGGUGGCAGCAGUGGGGAAUAUUGCACAAUGGGGGGAACUCUGAUGCAGCGACGCCGCGUGAGUGAAGAAGUAUUUUGGUAUGUAAAGCUCUAUCAGCAGAGAAGAAAAUGACGGUACCUGACUAUGAAGCCCCGGCUAACUACGUGCCAGCAGACGCGGAAAUACGUGGGGGGCAAGCGUUAUCCGGUUUAAUUGGGUUUAAAGGGUUGGUAGGCGGUCCGUUAGGUCAGUGGGAAAAUUGUGGGGCUCAACCUCGUCGAGCAGUUGAUACUGGCAGACUUGAGUUGGGGAGAGGUACGCGGAAUGCGCGGUGUAGCGGUGAAAUGCAUAGAUAUCGCGAAGAACUCCGAUUGCGAAGGCAGCGUACCAGCGCGAGACUGACGCUGAGGCACGAAAGUGUGGGGAUCGAACAGGAUUAGAUACCCGUGUAGUC
rnacentral:rRNA from 1 species